UAAAUCAUCUAAGAUCCAGAAGGGACUCCACAGGAAGAGGACGAGGGUGACCGCCUUUACGAUGUUUAGUUGAUGAAUGUAAUCAUCGUUUUGUGUCUACGUACGCACCUGGAUAGCUGACUUUAUAUGAACUCCUUCUACUGCGGUCCAGAAGUAAUAUGUCUGAUCAAAGGUGUGUCUUGCAAAUGCUGAUACUGUGAUGCAGCCUACCAGGACAUACCCAUUGGCCAGGAACUCCGUCACAGUCACAUG